rnacentral:rRNA from 1 species
UACGUAGGGUGCAAGCGUUGUCCGGAAUUAUUGGGCGUAAAGAGCUCGUAGGCGGUCUGUCGCGUCUGCUGUGAAAACUCGGGGCUUAACCCCGGGCCUGCAGUGGGUACGGGCAGACUAGAGUGCGGUAGGGGAGACUGGAAUUCCUGGUGUAGCGGUGAAAUGCGCAGAUAUCAGGAGGAACACCGGUGGCGAAGGCGGGUCUCUGGGCCGUAACUGACGCUGAGGCACGAAAGCGUGGGGAGCAAACAGG